rnacentral:misc_RNA from 1 species
UCUCCGUUGGUGAACCAGCGGAGGGAUCAUUACCAAUAUAUUCUACUCCCAACCCCCUGAGUACUUAUACCUUUACUGUUGCUUCGCCGGGGUAACGCCUCGGAAGGCUCGCCAGGGCCGCCGCAACUAGGCGCCCGCCGGUUGUCCGAAACUCAUUAUUCUUUUUUAUAUCAUGUCAGAGUUGACACAAACACAAAUGUAUCAAAACUUUCAACAACGGAACUCUUGGUUCCGGCAUAGAAGACGAACGCAGCAGAUUGGCAGAGCAACAGUCUGAAU